rnacentral:lncRNA from 10 species
CCCAUGGCUCCUAACAGCAGAGUCCAGGAGCUGGUUUUAGGGCAGGUUGCAGGUGACAGAACUGUGCCACUCCAGGCCGUGAAGUGCAUACCAGAAGGGCCCUGAGCACUUCACAGCCUAGCGUGUGUUAUGUGAGUACCCUCUUGGUGAAUGAAUUACAAAGAUGUGUCCCUUCUUUUGAGCUGACACAAGAUUUGGGAAGGAGAAUGGUGUCUGGACUUCAGCCAUCGAUGCCCCACCUCAGCUGGGUCCCCUUGUUGAGUGUACAUACUUUAUAACAAAACACGGGGAGAGAUUCUUAUCUACCCUGCUCUAGGUGCAUCCCCUUUUCACCAAUGAGAUGAUUAAGUAUUAGAAGGUGUGAUGGUUAAUACUGAGUGUCAACUUGAUUGGAUUGAAGGAAGCAAUGUAUUGUUCCUAAGGUGUUGCUGAAGGAGAUUAGCAUUUGAGUCAGUGAGCUGGGAGAGGCAGACCCACUGUCAAUAUGGGUGGGCACCAUCUAAUCAGCACAUCUAAUCUAGCUGCCAGCACAGCUAGAAUAAAGCAGCAAAAGAAAGUGAAAUGAGCAGACUUGCUAAGUCUUCCGGCCUUCAUCUUUCUUCCGUGCUGGAUGCUUCCUGCCCUCACACAUUAGGCUCCAAGUUCUUCAGCUUGUGAACUCUUGGACCUACACCAGUGAUUUGCCAAGGACUCUUGAGCCUUCAGCCACGGACUGAAGGCUACACUGUCGGCUUCCUUACUUUUGAGGUUUUGGACUUGACUGGCUCCUCGGCUUGCAGAUGGCCUAUUGUGGGACUUCACUCUGUGAUCAUGAAAAUUUGCAUUCUCCCUGUUGUGGAAAUAGGUGGGGAUUUCGGGGCAGGCUGAAGAGGGAGCUAUUUUUUUCAGAGAUCUGCGCAUUCCCCCUGUGAGGGAGGCUGACAAGGACCAUGGAACUCAACCAUUCAUGCAAAGCUCUUUCAAUUUCAUCAUCUCAUCCCACCAUCACAACGCUGGGAGAUCAGUUAGGUGCCACUCAGCCACCCGCGCUGGGAUUUGACUCAACCUAUUCCAGUGGUACCACCAACACCGGACAGCACUCACAGAGAAGCUAUUGCAGGUCUGAUGAAGCAGAGAUGAGACUCACAGAAGACAGCUGCUGCUUUGCCCUGUGACCGAGGUCCUCCGCAAUCAUUGCUGCUCUGCUUACAGAAUUAUUAUCAUGGUGAAAGGAAAGAGUGCUUUCCAAAGUGUGAAGAGUUAUGUAGUGAUUGUUUAUCCCUUCCAUGUGGGCUGGGAGUAGUCAGGGAGGGUCAAUUUGCUGUCCACAUUCAGCAUAAAAAUAGCUCCAAUGUGCUAAAAAUAUUUGUCAUCCACACAGAGAAAUCUGCAAGUCCUCACCACGGAGCCUUGAAAAGGAGGUCACAGAAAUAUCUGGAGCAAAGGACUUCCUCUCACUUGUCUCACCUAAUAGCAAUCUUAGAAUAAGGGUUUCUCACUGCUAGGCCAAGAUCUGGGUUUUUGCAUUUUUGCACCAGAUUUUGUUCUGUGUUCUGCUUACUCUGCUUAAAUGCAUGUGCAAAUGAGGCACUCAACAUCACUCCCCAUGAACCCAAGAUUCUUCUGGGCACGUUGGCACAUCAUCAUACCCAGGGGGACAGUUCGGACUCCUCUUGUCAGGUGUUGCUUAUUCGUCAUCAAAUUUGCCAGAGCCUCCCAGGUGCCAUUCCCACCCAAUGCUACCGUUCUGCACAGAGGUCCUGUUUGGUGCUGUGCCACUCUUGACCUUUUUCUCUCCUAGUAGUGGUUUAGUUUGUGAUGGGUUAAACAAUUCCUUUUUAAUAAUUGUAAAUGACUUCUAUUUAUAUUUGCUUUUUUGAAAGACAUUUUAGUUACUGAGGCAAGCCUUUUAUAAGUCCUCAGCACUGUGUCUUGAGUUUACAAAGCACACUGGUAAGAGACAACUUAGGUCUAGAGCAAUGCGCUUCUUUACCUUUUCUCUUUUUUUUCCUUUCAAUGUGUACAAAUUCAGUUGUUGCCAAUUCCCUAAAAGUAAUUUCCCCAGAACUUCUCUUAUUUGUGACAAAACUCCUAAUUUCUUCUUUCAGCUCUGUUUUGGAUUUUUUUUUCACUUUUUACUUUUACAUUUUUAUUUAUUUUCCCAUUGAUUGUACAUAUUAAAAGAAACCAAAGGGCUAGUUCCUGCUCCCAUCUAUUCUGACUGAGGCUGUAUUACUCUGCUACUAAAAGAAAAUGAAACUAUAUUCCUAAAGAGUAUGCUGGCUCUGAGAGCUUGGGCACCUUCUCACACUGUCUUAGUUCACCCACUUGGAACUGUAACUCUGGGGCAAAAUUGAGUUUGACUCUAAUGCUUACUCACUAAAUAGACUUCUUAACUUCAUCAUUAUUAUUUUUCUUUUUUGAGACAGUCUUGCCCUGUCACCCGGGCUGGAGUGCAGUGGAGUGAUCUCAGCUCACUGCAGCCUCUACCUCCUAGGUUCAAGCAAUUCUCCUGCCUUAGCCUCCUGAGUAGCUGGAACUACAGGAGUGCGCUACCAUGCCCAGCUAAUUUUUUUGUAUUGUUUUAGUAUAGACAGGGUUUCACCAAGUUGGCCAGGCUGGUCUUGAACUCCGACCUCAGGUGAUCCGCCCACCUCGGCCUCCCGAAGUGCUGGGAUUGUAGGCUUGAGCCACUGCACCCGGCCUUCAUUAUGUUUUUGAUCUCAGCUCUGUACUUAAUCAUUUUAGUACCAUGGUUAGUAAGAUAACUAUUCAAUUUUUCAGUGGGAUGUGGUCUUAGUCAGUUUGGGCUGCUAUAGCAAAAUUCCUUAGACUGCUUAAUUUAUAAACAAUAGCAAUUCAUUGUUUACUGAUGGGUGUGGUGGCUCAUUCCUACAAUCCCAGCACUUUGGGAGGCUGAGGCAGACCUUCAGAGCAGAAGGUCUGCUAAGGUAAAAGUAUUACCAUGGUUGUUAUAAUUAAUAAUAACUGACACCUCAGCAACAUGAACAUAUGUGGACUCUCCCCUGCCAGUCUUUUAACUUCUGCUUGUAAUGUUUUUGGCAUAGGUUUUCUGUGCACCAACCAAAUGCAUACUCUGGUGGAAAGACCCCUGAAGGAUCUAACUUGAGUUUUGGCCUUGCCAUUAACAUGUAUGAAGUCAGCCAAAUCAAUUGAUCUUAUCUUGAAGCCUGUAGAAUCCAUAAUCCACAAAAAAUAACAAUAAUUUUUACCAGAAAAGAGUUUUCAUCUUUUGAGGGAAGAUAUUUGGGGAAAACUUAUCCAUAUAAUUUCCAUGAUAUCAGGUGAUUGUCAACUCUUUACUACCUUUUCUGCAAUAUUGAUAAGGAUAAUAUUAAGGAAUUAUAAGUUAAUUAUUUAUAAUUGUUUCUGGAAAAAAAACAAAGGAAGUUAAGUAAACGGGAUUAUUUCCCCAAUUUUAGAGACCAUUAGGGGUCUAAAAUCAAAUAUUAAAAGUCUGUCUUACCUAAAACUUUCAUAAAUUUCUAGCAAAUGAAAGUCAUAAAUAUGGUGGUUAAAACAUAGGUUCUAAAGCCAGAGUGUCUGGGUUCCAAGGUUGACUGUGCCACAUGGGUGACUUUGGGGAGUUGUUUAACAUCUAUUUUCUCAUCUGUAAAACGGGAAUGAUAACAAUAAGCAAUUCACAAGGCAUCUGAGAAGAUUUAAUAAUGGUCAUUGUUUCUUGAGCAUGUCCUUCUUACUGAACACUUUCUCUUUCUAAGCACUUAAUUUUCACAACAACUUCAGGGGUGUUAUUGGUAUAAAUAAGUGAAGUCAUGCAUGUAAGGCCCUUAAAACUGUGCCUGGCUAUUCUAAGAUUCAAUCAAGACUACUUAGUAUUUUGCAUCCAUAAAAAGGGGGCAAAGUAAAGUCAGUAUGCCUUGGAGUGAAAUAAAGAAUUUAAUAGGGUGGCGGGGGGUGGGGGAAGAUAUUUCAGUGUAAGCCAACAUCCAUGAUCUUACUUAUGAAAGGAUUUCAUCUGAAUUGGUCAUCAAGCUUCUGCUAAAUGAAAUGAGCUGGAGAGCUAUAACUUAAGGUUAUAAUUAAAGGGAGAAUUAAAACACAGAGGCCUCACAGAAUGCUAUGCAUACUGGCUUUUACUUUCCUUCUUUCUAAAUGCACCUUGAGUGUAUAUUGGAUUAAAAUGGUGAAAAAGCAGUGACCCAGGAGUUUGUGACCAGUGUGAAGCAGGCUGGAUAAAAUUCAAAGUGAUGAAGGGGGUUUCAAAAAUGCUAGGGCAGACUUCCAGUUUCUGGUCCAGCACAUAAGGAGCUUGGAAGUCACCACUCUGUCUUAACAAGUAAAAUGCUGAACAGACUGAAAAAUCAAUAACAGAAGUGAGGUCACAGGGCAAACUGCUGUCCCCCAGUUGGAGGGACAGACAGGCAAAUACAGAGAAUCACAACUUACUAGAGCAGAAACCCAGGAGCAGAGACUUCCGUGGGAAUCAGUGCUGGGGUAGAAAGACAAAACUGUGAUGGACCAAAGCUGGAGGCUCAAUGUGGACAACCUGAUGAGUUAAAACCCUCAGGGGGAUCCAGCCAUGAUUGGGGUGGGGUGUACACUUUUCUCAGUUUUACCUCUAGUAAUGUAACCAGAUUCUCACAGUGAGUAUUGGAGAAAAAUUCCCUCAUGCUUCUGGCAGGGGGAGGGGAAAAACAGCCGUUUGGAAAGAUGCCAGAGCAUUUUGUUCUUAACAAGGCCUGUCCUCAGGGAAACUAUUUAACCAGAGCCUAACCUGCUGGAAUUUUACCAGAGCCUGACUGACCCGGGGGAAGGGAACUACCUACCUCUAGCCUUUUCUAGCCACCCUGUCCCACCUGAGAGUGGGGAACACCGACAAGCAUUUGUAAAGUUCAUAGUCUAGAGGCACAGGGUUAUUAAAAGACUAUGACCUAAUUGUAAGGCUAUAGAAUGUUUCUCCUUCCUCCACGCUUACCACCACAUUACUAAGGGCCCAUUUGCGCCCGUUCUUUUUUCCCCGUACCUCAUGACUGACUAUCAAAAAUUUACAAGGUAUACGGAAAGGCAAACAACCACAGUUUGAAAAGACAGCAAGCAUCAGAACCAGACUUAGAUACACCAGGGGUGUUGAAAUUAUCAGACUGAAAAUUUAAAAUAACUAUGAUUAAAAUGUCAGGAAUCUAAUGAAUAAAGUAGAUAGGAUGCAAAAAUGGUUAGGCAAUGCAAGCAGAGAGAUGAAACUCCUAAGAAAAAAUUUAAAAGAAGUACUAGAGAUCAAAACACCAUAACAGAAAUACGGAUUGCUUUUGAUAGGCUUACUAGUAGACUGAAUGAGGCUGAGAAAGAAUCUCUGAACUUGAGGAUUUUUUCAAUAGAAACUUCCAAAACUGAAAAGCAAAGAAAAAUACUGAAAAAAAAACAAACAAACCCAGAAUACAAUACCCACCAACUGUGAGACAACUAAAAAGGUAUACCACGCAGAAUAGGAACAGCAGAAGAAGAAAGAGAGAAAGAAACAGAAGAAAUAUUGGAAACAAUAAUAACUGAGAAUUGGCCUGGCUCACACCUGUAAUCCCAGCACUUUGGGAGGCCCAGGAAGUCAGAUCACGUGGGGUCAGGAGUUCAAGACCAGCCUGGCCAACAUGGUGAAACUCCAUCUCUACUGAAAGUACAAAAAAACUAGUCAGGAGUGGUGGUGGGCACCUGUAAUCCCAGCUACUUGGGAAGCUGAGGCAGGAGAAUUGCUUGAACCCGAAAGGCAGAGGUUGCAGUGAGCUGAGAUCGCACCACUGCACUGCAGCCUGGGCAACAGAGCAAAACUCUGUCUCCAAAAAAAAAACAAAACAAAAAAACUUGAGAAUUUCCCCCAGUUUAAUGUCAGACACUAAACUCAACCUGAUAAAAGAUAUGUAUGGAAACCCUACAGCUAACAUCAUAUUCAAUUACAAGAAACCAGAUUUCCCAACAAGAUCAAGAACUAGGCAAGGAUAUACCUUUUCACCACUCCUUUUCAAGGUCAUACUGGAAGUUCUACCUAAUGCAAUAGGAUAACAAAGGAAACAAAAGGUAUCCUGAUGAGGAUAAAAUAAAUAAAACUAUCUUUGUUCACAGAUGAUAUGAUUGUCUGUGUAGAAAAUAUGAAAAAAAUAAACCAAACAAAAACAAAAAUCCUUCCUGGAAUUGAUAAGCAAUUAUAGCAAGGUUGCAAGAUAUGAGGUUAAUAUAAAAAAUUAAUUGCUUUCCCUUAUACCAGCAAUGAGCAAGUAGAAUUUGAAAUAAAAACUAUAAUAUCAUACUGUUUAGAUUAGCACCCUCAAAAUAAAAUACUUAGGUGUAAAUUAUAACAAAAUAUGUAAAAAAUCUAUAUGAAGAGAACUACAAACUGCUUUAAAAAAUUAAAGAGGCCGGGCGCGGUGGGUCAUGCCUGUAAUCCCAGCACUUUGGAAGGCCGAGGCGGGCGGAUCACGAGGUCAGGAGAUCGAGGCCAUCCUGGCUAACAUGGUGAAACCCUGUGUCUACUAAAAAAUACAAAAAAUUAGCCAGGCAUGGUGGUGGGUGCCUGUAAUCCCAGCUACUCAGGAGGCUGAGGCAGGAGAAUGGCGUGAACCUGGGAGGCAGAGCUUGCAGUGAGCUGAGAUCGCACCACUGCACUCCAGCCUGGGUGACAGAGAGAGACUCUGUCUCAAAAUAAAAUAAAAUUAAAUUAAAUUAAAUUAAAUUAAAUUAAAUUAAAUUAAAAUUGAAGAAGAACUAAAUAAAUGAAGAGUUAUUCCAUAUUCAUGGAUAAGAAGACACAAGAGUGUCAAGAUGUCAGUUCUUCUCAACUUGAUCGGUAGAUUCAUUGCAAUUCCAAUCAAAAUCUCGGCAAGUUAUUUUGUGAAUUUUGACAAAUUAACCCUAAAGUUUAAAUGAAAAGGCAAAAAUCCCAGAAUAAUCAACACAAUAUUGAAGAAGCAGAACCAGGUUGGAGGACUGCCAUUACCUGAUCUCAAGAUUUACUGUAAAGCUACAGUUAUCAAGACAAUGUGGUACUGGUGAAAGAAAAGACAAACAGAUAAAUGUAACAGAAAAGAGAGCUUAGAAACAGACCCACCUAAAUAUAAUCAACUGGUCUUUGACAAGGGAGCAAAAUUAAUACAAUGGAGAAAAAGUAGACCUAAGUAUAAAAUGCAAAACUAUGAAAUUCCUAGAAGAUAACUAAAAAAAAAUCUAGGUGACCUUGGGUUUGGUAAUUACUUUUUAGAUACAACCAAAGGCAUAAUACUUGAAAAAAACAAUUGAUAAGCUGGACUUCAUUAAAAAUAAAAAUUGCUCUGCAAAAGACAGUGUCUAGAGAACGAGAAGACAAGCUGUAGACUGGGAGAAAAUUUGCAAAAGACAUAUCUGAUAAAAGACUGUUACCCAAAAUAUACAAAGUACUGUUAUAAUUGAAGUUUAAAUGAAUGGCUUUGUUUAAAUGAAUGGUCUUUAACAAGGGAGCAAAAUUAAUACAAUGGAGAAAAAGUAGACCUAAGUAUAAAAUGCAAAACUAUGAAAUUCCUAGAAGAUAACUAAAAAAAAAUCUAGGUGACCUUGGGUUUGGUAAUUACUUUUUAGAUACAACCAAAGGCAUAAUACUUGAAAAAAACAAUUGAUAAGCUGGACUUCAUUAAAAAUAAAAAUUGCUCUGCAAAAGACAGUGUCAAGAGAAUGAGAAGACAAGCCAUAGACUGGGAGAAAAUUUGCAAAAGACAUAUCUGAUAAAAGACUGUUACCCAAAAUAUACGAAGUACUGUUAUAACUCAGUCAAUCAGAAAAUGAACCACCCAAUUAAAAAAUGGCUAAAGAUCUUAACAGGUACCUCACCAAAAAGAUAUGCACAUAACAAAUAAGCACAUGAAAAGAUGCUCCACAUUUUAUAUCAUUAGAAAAAUGCACAUUAAAACAACAAUAAGAUACUACUAUUAGGUUGGUGCAAACACAGUUGCAGUUUUUGCAUUGUUGAAAUUUGCUGUUCAUAUUGGAAUACAUUCUUAAAUAAAUGUAGUUAUGUUAUACACCAUUUUAAUGUGCAUUCUUGCUUUAUGUUUCUUUUGUUAAUGACUUACUAAUUGCUCUUAAUUUUAUAUUUAUUUUAGACUAUAGAAAUGAUGUUAGUCAAAAAGCAAAUGAUGAUGAUUAUUAUUUUAUUUUAUUUUUCCAUAAGUUAUUGGGGUACAGGUGGUAUCUGGUUACAUGAGUAAGUUUUUCAGUGGUAAUUUGUGAGAUCCUGGUGCACCCAUCACCCAAGCAGCAUACACUGCACCAUAUUUAUUGUCUUUUAUCCUUCACCUCCCUUCUACUCUUCUCCCCAAGUCCCCAAAAUCCAUUGUAUCAUUCUUACGUCUUUGCAUCCUCACAGCUUAGCUUCUACAUAUCAGUGAGCUCGCAGCUUAGCUUCUACAUAUCAUAUGAUGUUUGAUUUUCCAUUUUUGAGUUAUUUCACUUAAAAAGAAAAUUUGAGUGAUUUUCUUAUUCGCGUUCAAAAUGGGGUGUAAAGUAGUGGAGACAACUCACAACAUUAACGGUGCAUUUGGCCCAGGAACUGUUAACCAACUUAACAGGACAGUGGUGGCUCAAGAAGUUUAGCAAAGGAGACAAGAGCCUUGAAGAUGAGGAUCAUAGUGGCCGGCCAUUGAAAGUUGACAACAACCAGUUGAGAGCAACCAUCGAAGCUGAUCCUCUUACAACUGCAGGAGAAGUUGCCAAAUAACUUCUGCAGUUCUGUCGGCCAUUCUGUGGUCAUUUGGCAUUUGAAGCAAAAUUGGAAAGGUGAAAAAGCUCGAUAAGUGGGUGCCUUAUCAGCUGAGUGAAAAUAAAAAAAAAUCGUCAUUUUGAAGUGUCUUCUGUUAUCCUAUGCAACAACAACAAACCAUUUUUUGAUCGGAUUGUGAUGUGCAAUGUGAAGUGGAUUUUAUACCACAACCGAUGAUGACCAGCUCAGUGGUUGGACCGAGAAGAAGCUCCAAAGCAUUCCUCAGAGACAAACUUGUACCAAAAAAGGGUCAUGGUCACUCUUUGGUGGUCUGCUGCCAGUCUGAUCCACUACAGCUUUCUGAAUCCCAGCGAAACCAUUACGUCUAAGAAGUAUGCUCAGGAAAUUGAUGAGAUGCACUGAAAACUGCAAUGCCUGCAGCCGGCACUGGUCAACAGACAGGGCCCAAUUCUUCUCCAUAUCAAUGCCCAACCGCAUGUCAUACAACCAAUGCUUCAAAAAUUGAAUGCAUUGGGCUACAAAGUUUUACCUCAUCCACCAUAUUUACCUGACCUCUAGCCAACCGACUACCACUUCUUCAAGCAUAUUGACAACUUUUUGCAGGGAAAACACUUGCACAACCAGCAGGAUGCAGAAAACGCUUUCCAAGAUUUUGUUGAACCCUGAAGCACAGACUUCCAUGCUACAGGAAUAGACAAACGUUUCUCCUUGGCAAAAAUGUGUUGAUUGUAAUGGUUCCUAUUUUGAUUAAUAAAGAUAUGUUUGAGCCUAGUUAUAAUGAUUUAAAAUUCACAGUCAAAACCACAGUUACUUUUGCACCAAUCUAAUAUACACCUCUUAGAGUGUCCAAAAUCCAGAAUAUUGACAAUACCAAAUGCUGGCAAAGGUGUGGAGCAGCAAGGACUCUCAUUCAUUGCUGGUGAAAAUGCAAAAUUGUAUGGCCACUUUGGAAGACAAUUUGGUGGUUUUUUGUAAAACUAAACAUACUCUUAUCGUAUAAUCUAGCAUUCGUGCUCCUUGAUAUCUACCCAAAGGAGCGGAAAAUUUAUGUCCACCCAAAUGCCUAUAUGUGGAUGUUUAUAGUAGCUUUAUUCUUAAUUGCCAAAACUUGGAAGUAGCCAAGAUGUCUUUUGGUAUUUAGAUGACAAACUGUGGUACAUCCAGACAAUGAAAUAUUAUUUAGUGCACACAAAAAUGAACUAUCAAGUCACGAAAAAACACAGAGGAGGCUGAAAUGCAUAUUCCUUAUACAUACUGUAUAAUUUCAAUUACUAUAUGACAUUCUGGAAUAGGCAAAACUAUGGAGAUGGUAAAAAGAUCAGUGGUUGCCAGGGCUUAGGUAGAGAAAGGCAGAACACAGAGGAUUUUUAGGGAGUAAAGCUAUUCUGUACGAUAAUCUAAUGGUGAGUACAUGUCAUUAAAUGACUGUCCAAAUCUACAGAAUGCACGACAUCAAGAGUGAAUACUUAUAUAAACUGUGGAUUUGGGGUGAUAAUAACAUGUAAAUGUAGGUUCUCCAAACAUAAUCAGUGAACUACUCUGGUGGGGAAUAGUAAGUGCAGGGGAAUCUAUGCAUGUGUGGGGGAAGGGGCUGCACAGGAAAUCUCUGUACUUCUUGCUCAAUUUUGCUGUGAACCUAAAACUGCUCUAAAAAAUAAAGUCUAUUAAAAAUAAAAACAAGAGGGGCAAUUCUCAAAAUUUUCAGUUUCAAGACUCUUUUACACUCUUAAAAAUUAUUGGAGACCCCAAAGAGGUUUAUGUGGACUAUCUUACUUACCUUAGUGGAUAUUAAAGCUGACAAAAUUUAAAAAUGUUUAUUAAUCCAUUUAAAAAUAAUAAAAACUCAUUUUUGGUAGCAUAAAUAAUACAAUUUUUUAUGAAAAAUAACUAUUUUUCAAAACAAAGUGAGAAGACUUUUACAUUUAUUGCUUUACAUUUUUGCAAACCUCUUUGAUGUUUGGGUUAUUAGUAGAUAACUAGAUUGUCAUAUGUGCUUCUUCAUUUGAUCUGUUGUGAUGUAGCAUUUUGAUUGAAAAUCUAGCCUGUCACACAUUUGUUUACUUGAAAAAGAGAAAAGUAUUUUAAUAACCUUUCAGGUAAUUCUGGAUAUUCUUCUUUAAUAAUAUACUUAAACUUGACAGGUGGCUGUUUCUUAAAGAUUAGCCACAAUGUGAAAUCUCAAACUA